rnacentral:rRNA from 1 species
UACAGAGGUCCCAAGCGUUGUUCGGAUUCAUUGGGCGUAAAGGGUGCGUAGGUGGCGCCGUAAGUCAGGUGUGAAAUCUCGGGGCUUAACUCCGAAACUGCAUUUGAUACUGCGGUGCUUGAGGACUGGAGAGGAGACUGGAAUUUACGGUGUAGCGGUGAAAUGCGUAGAUAUCGAGAGGAACACCAGUGGCGAAGGCGAGUCCCUGGACAGGUCCUGACGCUGAGGCACGAAAGCUAGGGGAGCAAACAGG